UAUCAACACAUCUUAAUGCUUAUAUCCCUUGUUAUCCCUUUGCUUCCCUGCCUCACACAAUGUUUUAUCCUACCUGCGACAAAGCCUGAAUCUCUUUGCUGCUGUUUUGAAAAUCUUGUGUUUCUUGUCUAUCCUAAUUGGAACUUCCUGUCUUUUUUUCCUUCUUUAUAAUUGAAGAGCCCUCCAAUUUUUUUUUACAUAAGGGGAAGGAGCUUCUUGGUGGUGGAUAACUUUGUGUUUGAACGUGGUUAUUAUCUUCUUUACAUCUUUUCAAUUCUCAACAAGCCAUCACACAUGACGUUACUUUUUGAAGUCUCUUGUUUUAUUUUGUCUAUUAGUGGGAAUGCAGACUUCCUGUUAAAUUCUUAUAUCCAGAAAGGCCUCCGUGCUGUGAGUUUUAGAGUUCACGCUGUUAGUCGAGUCCACAUAGUCAGUGGCUUAGGAACUACAAGUCUCAGGUUACUCUUCAUGCACUUACUGUUCGCAUGUGGUUUACGGGUGUAGUGCGCAUCGAUGGGAAUUUGUUUCUACUAAAAAAUGAGUUGGAGAAACCUAGUGUAACAAAAACAAAGAAUUCCUUCAGUUUGUUUGUUUGUUUUUUUUUUUUUUAAUUUUUAAAAUUUUUUUAUUGGCAGCAAGAUAUUUAUUUAGAAUAGAAAAAGAAAGAUACAAAAUGUCGACGGAGGACAAGAAGUUCACCAACGAAAGUUUAAAACAAAAACUACAUCUCACACACUGCUCUCCAAUCUCUAGACAUUAAAAGGACCUUUUUUGAUGCUUCUUGACGUGGAGAAAUCUAGUGUAACAAAAACAAAGUAUUCUCUUAGGUUGAAGCAUGCUUUUGUUUCUUCUAUAGAGAGAAAAUACCACUUUGCUUGUUGAGCAAUUGCAUGUGGUUUAACUGUUCUUUUUUAUGAUUAAGAAAAACUAGGGAAUAGUAGUUCCAGUAAACUUUGGAGGUGGUGUUUUAGUAAAUUAAAUUCAUUUAUUGCAAAUCCAAAAAUGGUCAUGGUGAACCAAAGAAAGGUUCAUUUGGGAUGGGGGUUGGCCUUUUGACUUUUUGGCUAUUUUAGCCUAGGGCUAAAUAGUCUUGUUUGGGAUAGAGUUUUGGCUUUUUUACUUUUGUGAGAUAAAAAAUGAAAUGAUUAUGGUUUGCAUGCGAUGUUUUGUCUUAUUGGAUUAAAAAGUUUAUUUUGUCUUUUUGUGGCUAAAAAAGCCAAAAAGUCAAAAAGCUUGGCAUGUCAAACGAAGGCGAAGCAUCAUUUCAAUAUACACAUCUAUAUAAAUGCGCAUAUUCAGGUUGGGAAACUGCUUCUAAUAGGUUUAUGCAGUGUGAUUAUUCAUUCAGUUGGUAGUAGAAGUAUGUUUUUCCUAGGCUAAUAGAUAGUUUUGUAAAGCUAAAUAUUGAAAAACAUCACAUUAUGAAAUUUUUACUUUUUCUUCAAACCUUUUCAGUUACUGUCCAAAUUAAUUGAGGUAUGUAUGUUUUAAGUUGCUCACUCAAGCAUUCCGGUCAACAACUAUUAAUGGAAAGGACUUCAAUAUCAUUGUCUUAAGAGGUUGGAUUUGUAAUGAAUGAUUAGUGAUGAACCUAGAAAUUUUGCUAAGAUAUUUUCUUAGACUUUGAGGCCAAAAUAUAUUGUCAUAAAUACUCCCGAAAUAGUUUUUAGGGCCUAAGUGAAAUUUGAAAAAUUAGGGAGCCAGGUCAAAUUUCUUAGAAUUUAAGGGAGCCAAAUACUAUUUUGUGUCAUAAUAUCCACAAAAACUAUAAACUUAAGUGAAAUUCUUAGAAGUUUGGAGGGCUAUGUAAAAAUUCUUAUAUGCAUCAUGCAUUAAGGUGGCACUUAGACAUUUAGGUUGUUUUUGGAUCUUGGAUUUGUGGAGGGGGGAAAAAAAAAAAGGAAAGGGAAAAGAUAGGAAAAGAGAACGAAGUGAAGAAUCUAUUUCUCUCCUUUUUGGUUGGAUAGGAAAAAUGAGAAAAAAA